GCCAUAAUAAGACACGGGAUAAAAGAGUCAUAAUAGCGUAUUAUAGCCGAAAGCUUGAUUUAUAUUUUACGUUUUUUAAACUGUAAAUAAAGAUUUUUACCAGUGCAACACACUACCACUACAAUAAUGAUUAUGUUUUGUUAUGUCAAUUAUUUGGGAGUACAGUUUAAAAAGUAACACCUUCUAAUGUUAUUGCGUACAUAUUAGUGAGGCGGAUAUGUGUAAAAUUAUUGAUCAGUAGUUCCCGUUGGGGUUAGAAGCACCAAACUUUUACAAUUGAUGUAGUUUUAUUUGCUUAAUAGAUAUUUGAAGUGGGGCCAUCGCUAUUUUGCUGCUAACUCCUGAAUUAUAGCCAAAUGUGAAAUUUUGUAUUCAAUUACAACAAAUAUGACUUGCAUCAUCAGAAAGCUUAUAAAAAAUUGCAUAAAAGACGUUUAGACAGUUUUUUGAUUUCUGAAAUAGUUUUCGAAUUAUAAA